UACAGAGGUCUCAAGCGUUGUUCGGAUUCAUUGGGCGUAAAGGGUGCGUAGGCGGCCUGAUAAGUAGGGGGUGAAAUCCUGCGGCUUAACCGCAGGGCUGCCUUCUAAACUGUCAGGCUGGAGCACAGUAGAGGCAGGUGGAAUUCCCGGUGUAGCGGUGGAAUGCGUAGAGAUCGGGAAGAACAUCAGUGGCGAAGGCGGCCUGCUGGGCUGUUGCUGACGCUGAGGCGCGACAGCGUGGGGAGCAAACAGG
rnacentral:rRNA from 1 species